CAGGUAGUAAGGAAGGAAGGAAAAGAGCCCCAAAUCCCGGAAAAAUAAAACCUCAUGGAAAUCGCAUAGAAAGGAGAGAGAGAGGAGAGCAUCAGCAACAGUAGCCCAUAAUAAAAGCUGCAGAGAAGAAAACAAGAUCCACCUCGAGCACCUCUCCACCACCAACUUCCUAAUUUCAUCCCUUCAAUCUCUUCCCCCACCCCAGACCCCCCCCUCAAUUUCAUUCUUCAAUCUCCACUUUUCCCUCAAUUCACCAUGCCAAUCGAGUCAAAACCCACGAUUUAGCCCUUUCCUUGCUUGCUCUCCUUUCGUCCGUUGCAAAAUCACAAUCCCCAGAAAUCUCGAGCCCUUAGAGAGAGAGAGACGGAAAUUUGGUGGAUAGAUUAACUAAUUCUCAAUUGGGUUUUCUAGAUUUUUGGGAGGAUUGAAUUGGGUUUUUCUGGGUGGGAGCGGAUUCAUUAUGAGGGAAGAGGAUUGUAAUUGGUUCUCCAAGUGGGAAGAGGAGCUGCCGUCGCCGGAAGAGCUUAUGCCCUUGUCUCAAACCCUGAUUACGCCCGAUCUCGCCAUCGCUUUCGAUAUUCCAAACCCCAAUAGUAGCUCCCAACCACAAGCCCCGCCGCCGCCGCCUCCUCCGCCUCCGCCUCCUUCGUCGGCGGAAUUCGACUCGGCCGAGCUGGGAACGGGAUCCGCCGGCGACGAGCCCGCCCGGACCCUCAAACGGCCACGCCUCGUCUGGACGCCGCAGCUCCACAAGCGGUUCGUGGACGCCGUAGCCCACUUGGGCAUCAAGAACGCCGUCCCCAAGACCAUAAUGCAGCUCAUGAGCGUCGACGGCUUGACGCGCGAGAACGUCGCCAGCCAUCUCCAGAAGUACCGCCUCUACUUGAAGCGUAUGCAAGGGAUUUCGACAGGAGGAGGCGCCAACGGCGCUGCCGGUGGCGCUGGCGGAGCGUUGGCUCCCGGCGGGGACCCCGCCACCGAUCAUUUGUUCGCGAGCUCGCCGGUGCCGCCGCAUUUCUUGCCGUAUGUUCCGGUGGCGGCGCUGCAGCACCACCCGCAGAUGGCGGCGGUGGCUGGGCAUCCGCAGCUGCAGUCGCCGUAUCGGCAAAUGGGGCAUUAUGGGUCGCAGCCGCACGGGCAAUUCGAGCAUCCGUUUAUCAGUAGGCAAUCACAGCCUGUUCAAAGAAUGGGGGCGCCACUGCACAAUUCUGUAGCUUCCUACGCGGAGGACGUUGAUUCGGGCACGGCGGUGAAUGGGAGGAAAGUCCUCACUCUGUUUCCAACUGGGGAGGAUUGAAUUUGGGUUUCAGAGCAUUAGGGCCAAGGUCCUUUGAUUUGAGUGUAUUUCCAAGUGAUAUUUCAAGAUUUGGUAUUUUGAUUUGACAACUCAUUUCAAGCCUGUUUGAAUGUAUUUGCAGUGUUCAUCCAAGCAUGUUGCACGCACGAGGGAGAGUUUUGGUAGCAAUAGUAAUGUUGUUCCUUUGCGAAUGGAAAAGCGACAGGUUCUGAGUCGAGAAAAUAGCCUUUUUGCAAAGCAAAGGUAAGUCUCGAUAACAAAACUACCCUUCUCCAAUUCUCUCUCAAAGCGGGCGUCCCGUACACAAGGACGACCUUUUUUUUAGAGUCUAUGUAGCAUGUGCGCUAACAGAUGAACAAAGCUUCUAGGCAGCCCUGUGCUUUCCUUGAAGCCUGGACUCCAUGGAAAUGCUCCACAUGCAUACCCACUGGUUUUCUUUCUUUGCAUUUUCAUUCAUAUAUGUUAAAGAGUAGAUGCCAUGUUUGUAGUAAACAACCCCUUUUUGUGCACUUAUGCAAGUAUCGUGUCACUAAAUAACUGCUAAUGGCCAUUAAACAAUCCCAGCAUCAACACUCAGCCCUGCACAUGGUUAUGCAGCUCACGCCAGCCUAUAUGCUAGAGCUUGAGACUAGGCAGCCCUGAACUAGUAAUUAAAUAACACUAGCUGCCAGUUGGUACCACAUUAUUAGUAUUAUUAUUAUGUAAGGAACCCUUGUUGCAUCUUUGUGUUAUCAGUCAAUAAAUGAUGCCCAUGUGAAUUUUCAAACCCUAAUUAGCCACUAAAUGGAUUUUGCAUAGAUAUCAUAGUUGUUGGCUCUUUUAUGAAUUUUACAAUGAUAAAAUUGUUCUUUUAUAAUCAGAAGGUCAUUUGUUUGAGUUAAUAGACAAUAUCUCUUGUAAGUCCAUGUACUAAACAUCAAACCUAACUCUCUCCCUUCUAUU